ACAACCCCUGUCAUUCGCUUUGAGGCCUUUUAGCUCAGAUCAUCCUGACUUCUCUCCAGGCUUGUAUUGAUUAUUGAUGAAGCGGGUGAGUCGAUGCCACUGUUACUGAUACCGGCCAGUAGAGUCUGAUUGACGAAAUUUAUUAUUGAUUAUUGGUUCUGACCUUUGACUGUUUUUUUUCCUCGCUGCUGACUUUUAUCUGUUACUUGCUUAAAAAGGGUCCAUCGGUUCCUCCACCUCCUAAAGUCACACCCACUAAAGAAGUGGCAGAAGAGCAAAUCAUUGACUUGUUCGGAGGAGAAUUUCUACCUGCUCCUUCACCUUCUCAGCCAAAUGAACGACCAGGAGAGUCUCUUCUUGACCUGGACUUUGAUGCUUUCCAGCCGGAUGAAAGUGUUUCACCGAUUCCUCAGACGGCUGUACCGUGGGACAUGUGGUCGGUGAGUUCAAUCUCCAAAACUCUUUACUUGGAAACAAACAUGUUUUCUUUUCAGCUUUUUUCCUGAAAAGCCUGCAGGUUACUCUCAGACGCGCUGCUUGAAUGGACUCUUUCCUGAUCAUUCUCAGGGCUAAUUGAGCUGAUUUAACGUAGUAUGUUUUUUGCACAUCCUGAGACCAGAGCACAGAAAAUAGAAGAGCGUUAAUUUGAUUAAAAUGCAACUGUUUAUUGCCACUACAAACCAGAUAGCACUAACAGCAGGUUAUGGAGAAUUGCACAGAAAAAGCAGAUGGGUUCAGCAGAGUGAUUGUCUACAGGCAGACUUGCUGCUUAAG